rnacentral:tRNA from 1 species
AGGUAGAUGGCGGAAUCGGUAUACGCAUUAUAUUCAAAAUAUGACAACUUUAAAUUUAGUUAUGAGGGUUCAAGUCCCUCUCUACCUA